AUGUGUUCACCUGAAAUAUGAAUAUUAUGUCGUCGUAGUUAAUGUUAUUAAUACCGUUGUGCUGAGCAAGCAGCAGCAAAAAAAUGAGCACUGAAAAGAACGACAGCCGUUUUAAAAACGUACACAUGACGGGUACCGGAGAAGUAGAAGUAGGAGGUGGUAUUAACUUAAUAAGCUGACUCGAGAAUCGGCAGCUAUUAUUCAAUUGGUCAAAUACCAUCGCAUGAUGUAAGUACGUGCAUGUCAUCCAUACCGCUGGACAAGCCUAGCCAGUUCUCAUGGGUAUCGAUAUGAAAUCUAACAUACUUAGGUUUUCAAAAGCGCAUUUGCUAUAAAAUUUUCCAGUCGUAUUAAAACUAGUCAAAUUACACAAAUAGAAUUCUUAUUAUUUCCAGUACGAUCGUUGGACCGGUAAGGCAACAAGGUGUCAAGAGUUGAGGACGACCGUGAAUUAAAAAUAUUCUGGCAAAGGGACGUAACGUCGCGUCGUAAACUCAACGUAGAGAGUCAAUUGGUGCAGAACGUAGAAUCGACAGGAUUAAGGAAAUCCUCAUAGAGGAACAGAGGGACUGAUUCGGAAGAUGCGCGUUACGCGAGAGCAGAUACUCGACUGAGUGAUAAACGAGCCUUGAUUGGCUUAAUAUAGUACGUUGCCGGAGUAAUUGGUCGCUCCCUUGCCGUGCGGGAAAUGAUUGGUCAAUUUAAUCCUAGGACGUAGUGCAUUAGGCAUUCAGUCGACGUACAAACUCCCUAUUAACUGUCAUAACUUUGUUCUUCUUCUUAGUCUUACGCUCUAUUUCGUUUUUCUUCUUUUUUCGCUCCUCCUUUUCACGUUAUUUGUAUUUAUUUACAAUUAUUAAUUCAAUCCUCACUCGAACCGUACGGAUAUCAUUCGCGUUUUCAUCCCUUGUUAUCUCUCUCUUUUUUCCCAAAUUCUUCCCACCUUCCUUUCUGUCAAUGCGCUCUUUUUUCUUUCUUGCAUCAUUAUAAUGUGACUAUACCGUACCGAUGUAUUUAUGUACCGUACCUACGAGUUCUCCCUCUCUUCGGAUCAAUUUAUCAAUUUAAAUCACUGCAUCGUGACUGUGAAUGGACCGCGCGUAAUAUAUCUAUACACAGCGUAUGAACUACAUAUAUUAUGCGCUAUGUUUGCGUGUAUGCAUGUCGUACAUGUAGCACACCUAUACGGGGUGUGAAGAAAAAUAUUGAAUCAUCGUCAUUCCGACCUGUACGCAGAAAAUAGAUAAAAUUACAUUGCGAUCGUAGAAGGAACCGGAAAUACAUGUCGAAUAAUGUGUGCUCUCUACGGUCAAGUUCCCUCUGAAGUAGUUGGAGGGGAAGAAAUGCAGAGAUACGUUCUGCCUACUCACAAUUCAUUGGAUAAAUAAUUAUUCCCACUUUCCCGAGACGGUCAUGUAGAUAUCGGAGGAUAUAAGUGUACGGAGCUUAAAUGUGCCCGGAGAUGAUGAUCUUCGGGGAUUAGGGAAAAUGAGCGAAGGAAAACAGUUGAUAGGGAGCUGUCGGAUACUUCAGAUGCGACAGAGGCAGGAGCAGCUUAGAAAACAGCAGCAGGCGGUUUGUUAUACGUUUGCAAAGUAGUACGUACGUGCAUAAGUACGUGUACGUACGUACGUACCAUGCAUCAUUAUGAUCCGAUGGUGGGAGACUUGAUGUACCAAUAGGAAACGUUCGUUCUUAACUUACAAUUAGAAGGGUGAACAAAAAAGUGGGGAGUACAGGCGGAAAUCCUAUUCUAAACAUGAAUGAAUCGUACGUCACAUUUGAUACGACCAUCGAAUCAGAAAAUACCGCAGCAUCGAUAACCGGCGACGAUCUACACAUACCGCGACGGUGUGACGACGGCGCCGAGUCAACAACGUGAAAAGUAAUCGUACCCAGCGACGACGACGACGAUGAUGAUCCUACGAAGACGCAAUGAUCCUGGAGGUUCGUUGGACGUGAGGUCUACCAAGGAACUGAUGAUUUUCCGAAAUUGGUCACGAAAUUUAUAUAAUGCCGACAAUGCCAGCUGCAACAGUGCCGACGUUGUAUUAAAGUAAAUACAGGGCGGUUACGAUUUGUAUAAUUAGUCAUUGCUGAAUAAUUUUCGGAGAUCGACUACUUCGGUUGUACUUCGAACGUCUUAUUUGUCGAUUGCAGCAGCUGUUGGGGAUUGACCGACGCGAUUAUUAUCAGGUAUUGUUAUUACUGUUGUUAUUAAUUGUAUUGUUGUUAUUAUUAUAGGUAUACAGCCAAUAUUUAUAAUAUUACUGUCGGUAAAGUGGUCAAGAUGGUCCGAGCUGUGAACACAACAACGAGCAUGUGGAAUAUUAUUUCUGCCCAUUAUUGCGGUCACAAAGCGGAACGUCUCCAAUAAUUACAGUAGAAUUACUGCACUUUUCAUUGGAACAUUCUUCUCAGUGUCGUCAUACUUUCUUUAUUUUUCUUGCCGUUGGUUCUUUUGGUAUCUCGUAAUAUUUCAUGCGAACUUCGACUAGAUUUUGGAUGAAAAAAAGAAUUUCGACGUUAUUUCAAUGAAGACACUUUUGUCGUUGAAAGUCACGUCAUCAUCCGACCAAGGAGAAGAAUUUAUGAUUGUUUGUGUCAAAUUUGGACUCCAAGCGCAUAUUGCGACAUGUCGAACAUUGGACGCGGGAUUAUUCAUCGUUUGUUUGAACAAACUACCGAAAGUUCAUCGCCGCAGUGCAAAGGCUGUGUUAUACUCGAGUAAACUUCUCACAACUGACAAUAAGACGGAGAUAAUCGCCGAUGGCAACUAUGACGACUAAUCCUCGACACAUUCUCCAUGGUUUACCAUUGCGAUAGCCGUUAUACAACACGCCCCUAUGCUAUGCAUAUAGCCAUUAUACAUGUAUGUUAUAUGCCUGCAGUUCUUUCAACGACUCAACGAGUCAUGCAGACUUCAAUUUCAUACUUGGGAAUGAAGAAUAAGUAAAAAGCUAUACACACACCCAUGUAUGUUACCGACGCUAUGGAGAAAUCCCGCUGAAUAAGGGUAGGAGCAUGGUGGAAGUGUGUAUUUUUUCCUCUCUUUUUUCUUUUGAUCAAAUUUUUUUCAUCCUACCCUCGUGUUGUAAAUGAGUUUUCGUUUAUCAUUGUGAAAAUCAGGCUUUGGUUCGUAGCGGGUUUCAAAAGCUGUAUUAUAUACGAUGAUCGCUUCCUUCGGCAAUGUUCAUUUUUGUUAUACCUCCGUGACUUUUCCCAUGCGGGUGUACUGUACGCUCAUUUAAACUCUCCCGCCUUUUUUGUUGGAUGGUCUUUUUUUUGCUGUGUGAAUUACUUUGUUUCACCAAUGCCAUGACAAAUGUUCAUACGAAGUAUAAAAUUGAUAUCACAAACGAACUAAAAUCAACGACAAAAUAGGAUUGCUCGUCCACCUUCUUUUCCACGAACGAAUCGAUUUCUUUUUCUCUUUUUGAUGGGCACACGACCAAAUCUCGCGAAUUUAUUUUCUGGAGAAAAGAAUUACCCGAUAUUUGUUCGGCCAUGCUUUCGGCUUUACGUGGAUACAUGUCUCUACGUGCAAGUUUUUGUUCCGCUUUUUUUUCACAAGAAUGUGAGAUUGUUAAAUGUGUGCAACGUCUGCGUGGGCGUAUAUCUGCAGUUGAACUUCUCAUCCGGCGUGACCGCCACAUUACAUUAAAAACUUAUUUCAUAGGAUCAACCGUAGAUAUAUCUAUAGAUAAACCGUAUUUUGAAAUGUUAGGUUGACGGAAAUUUCAUUUAUACCGUACAUGUUGAUAUUUGAUGUAUUCUAAAUCCUAAUACGGUUUCCGAUAAUUGUUCUUCUAUCUUUAUUAUACCACUGUCGGAAUCUAGAUCUAAGUGCGAGAAUGAAUCUCGUGUUUUGUAAUAGAAUUUCUCGAAUUAUAGGAUACUCAAAAUAACAAUUAUCGCUCUACGAAUUUGCAAAUAACUUCUAGAACGUUUCUUGCCAAUUAAUCUCAAAUUUACACUCACCUAGUUCAAUACUACGUAGGAUAGUCGUAGGUGGUAAUAAUCUAGUUGAUAGUAUUACGAAAAUCGAUCUAUAGAAUUAUAAUUUUCUUUUUCUUCUGUUUUUGGUGAGAAAUUUUUUGGUAUCAAAUUGAGACUUUUUCACGUGGCAGUCUAAAGUAGAGUGGACCGUUCGCAGUCAUCGGGUAUUAAAUUCUCCCCAAUGUACACAUCACGGCACAGAUGCACAGGUGUUUUUUCUAAGGUCACGUGUUAUCAACGAUAUAGAUAUAACUGAAACGUAUAAAAUUCAAAUAUUAUUACAAUAUAUGCGAUAUAAUAUGCCACAUAUCGCGCAAUUCAACGUAUCCCAAUAAUAAGCUCAACGGCGACACCUCUUCGUGACAAAUGGGGAGAAAUGUAAAAUAUUCAUUUAUCCGUCACCGGUUCCAGAGGUCAGGUGGUGCCUGCAGAAUCAAUUGUUAAAAAAAAUGAAAAAGAACAAAGAAUAUUUUGUUUCAAACGACAAGAAGAAUUCAACCUAUCGUUGUUCAUUACCAAAGUAAAAGCCAUUAUCGGCUAUUCGAACUUUUCAAUAGGACUUGUUCAACAUUGUUAGUACACCCUGUAGAUAUGUGAGCAUUUUAAUAUACAUAUUCUUAUGCAUACACGGAUAGGUGUGCAUGUACGUGUCGCUACCAACAUAUUUAACGAUGGUGGCAGUAGGCUCUGAGUGGCGUUAAUUUCAACUUCCUCUCCGUGGAUGAGAUUCAUUCCACGGGUUUCCGGCGCAUACCCACACACCACAUUCUAUCCAAUUUAAUACACUCACCACGGUGAAUUUAUCAACCCGAGAACUUGUGUGCGUAUUAUUUGUACGCUUGUUUCACAUACCCAUAUCGUUAGAUUUGGAUCUGAAGCGUCAAAUAGUAUAACGAAAACCUGGAAUAGCGUUGCCAGCCAUUAUUUUGGCAAUUGAAUGUUCAGUUACAACUAUUCGUUGUAUUAUUUUGAAAUUACUUCUUGGUCAGUAGUAGUGGAAUGAAAAUAUAAUAAUAAGAUAUUUUCUCUUCUCUCCCAUUCAGUAGGAAUAAGGAAUGAAUAGCGAAGACGAACGCCCACGCGUGGUGUACCCGGUGGAUCGCAUGCGAGUGUCAAAGUACGAUGCAAUGAUUCAGAUGUCAUGGUGUCAGAUGCCUCCCGUCUUCUUUCACGGCGGUUAAAUUGGUGAAAGCAUUACCAAAGAGGGGUUAAACGGUUUCAAUCGGCCUUAACUUCUUUUAAACGCAUACCGGUAUUUCGAACUACGGAGAUAUUGCCAUC
rnacentral:lncRNA from 1 species